AUCCUCCCACCUCAGCCUCUUCAGUAGCUGGAGCUACAGAUAUACUCACUAAUGUAUACUCAUACACAAGACCAGCAUGUCCCAAGCAAUCUACAGUGAGAUCUUCAAAAGAAGAUCUUCGGAGCCCUCACCAGAAUCACCCUUAAUGAAGAGUCACGGGGAGAAGACGUCCACACACGCGUGACAAGACAGGCCUGGAACAGAGCCUUCCCGCACAGCCUGAGAAGGGACCCACCCUGCUGACACCUUGAUCUUGGACCCAUGGCCUCCAGUACUGCGAGAUGGUCCAUGGAAGAGUUGUCUUCAAGAAAACUGCUCUCUGGUGCCAAAAAGUUUGGAGACCGCUGAUGUAAAUGUUUCUAAGAAUAGUUAAGCAACUUAAACUUUACAUGCUACGAAGAAUACAGGUUUAAAUGCUAAUAAAAAUAGGUGCAAAUGAAAA